rnacentral:rRNA from 1 species
GUGGUGCUGAUCCUGGCUUGGUCGCCGGCGGCGGCCGUAGCAAGCGGUGGCUGGAUGGACGCGCACGCUACCUUCUACGGCGAUGAGACCGGAGCUGAGACCAUGCAGGGUGCGUGUGGGUACGGUAACCUAUUCCAGCAGGGGUACGGGCUGGACACUACAGCGCUGAGCGUGGCCCUCUUCAGCGACGGCUGGUCCUGCGGCGGCUGCUACGAGAUCCAGUGCCACGGCGACCCGCACUGCAAGCCCGGCGGAGCGCCAGUGACGGUGACGGCAACCAACCUCUGCCCGGCCAACUACUCCAAGCCCUACGAGAACUGGUGCAACCCGCCGCUGAAGCACUUCGAUCUCUCCAAGCCCAUGUUCCUUCGCCUCGUCACCGACUUCCACGUCGGCAUCAUCCCCGUGCAGUACCGACGCGUGCCUUGCGCCAAGAAGGGCGGCAUCCGGAUAGAGAUGACGGGCAACCAGUACUGGGUCGGCGUGCUCGUCUUCAACGUCGCCGGUCCCGGCGAAGUCAAGGCGUUGGCCGUGAAAGGGGCCAAGGACGGGCAGUGGCGGAACAUGAAGAGGAACUGGGGACAGAUCUGGGACGGAGAUGUCCAAAAUCUCGUCGGGCAGGGGCUCUCGUUCCGUGUGGUCGCAAGCGACGGCCGCUCCGUCGUCCUCGGCGCCGUCGUGCCGGCAAGCUGGACGAUCGGCCAGAGCUUCGAGGGCAAAGAGCAAUUCUGA